UUUUAGGUUCUUCUGUGAUAUGUUUUCAUGGUGUGGGAAUAAGACUUGGUGGUCUAAUACAGCUAAUACGAAGGUUAGCAUUACAGCUUGUCUGUAAAGAUUGAAGCUGGGAGUGGGCAUUGGAGCUGACUUUUAUGGUAACUGUGGCUGCAUAAAAGGGCUAUGUGAUUUUACUGUAACAGUAAAGAAUGUAAUUCAGACUAUUUUUGUGUAUGUUUGAGAAAAUGUUUAUAAUUUUUACAAAAAAAAAAAAAAAAUGUGUACAGGUUCUCCAUUUUCAACAAGAUUGGAAGUUGUAGGUUAAUAUGUCUUUGAAAUUUCAAAAACUACUUUCUAUUUUCUGUUCAUACUCAUGUCUAGACAAAACGCUUCCAGUAGUUUAAGAGUGGAGAAUCUAAAAAAAAAAAGAAAAGGAAAAAAAAGAAAAAGACAAAAA